rnacentral:rRNA from 1 species
GACGAACGCUGGCGGCGUGCUUAACACAUGCAAGUCGAACGGAAAGGCCCUGCUUCUGUGGGGUGCUCGAGUGGCGAACGGGUGAGUAACACGUGAGUAACCUGCCCUUGACUUUGGGAUAACUUCAGGAAACUGGGGCUAAUACCGGAUAGGAGCUCCUGCUGCAUGGUGGGGGUUGGAAAGUUUCGGCGGUUGGGGAUGGACUCGCGGCCUAUCAGCUUGUUGGUGGGGUAGUGGCUUACCAAGGCUUUGACGGGUAGCCGGCCUGGGAGGGUGACCGGCCACAUUGGGACUGAGAUACGGCCGAGACUCCUACGGGCGGCAGCAGUGGGGAAGGUAGCACCCUGGGCGGGAGCCUGACGCAGGAACGCCGCGGGGGGGAUGUAGGCCGCCGGGUUGUAGACCGCUUUUGUCUGUGACGAAGCGUGAGUGACGGUAACGGGUAAAGAAGCACCGGCUAACUACGUG